rnacentral:rRNA from 1 species
AUUGAACGCUGGCGGGAGGCCUUACACAUGCAAGUCGAACGAGUGGCGGACGGGUGAGUAAUGUCUGGGAACCUGCCUAAUGGAGGGGGAUAACUACUGGAAACGGUAGCUAAUACCGCAUACCCUCAGAUGUGCCCAUAUGGGAUUAGCUAGUUGGUGGGGUAAAGGCUCACCAAGGCAACUAUCCCUAGCUGGUUUGAGAGGAUGACCAGCCACACGGGAACUGAGACACGGUCCAGACUCCUACGGGAGGCAGCAGUGGGGAAUAUUGCACAAUGGGCGAAAGCCUGAUGCAGCCAUGCCGCGUGUAUGAAGAAGGCCUUCGGGUUGUAAAGUACUUUCAGCGGGGAGGCGUUACCCGCAGAAGAAGCACCGGCUAACUCCGUGCCAGCAGCCGCGGUAAUAC